UAAUACAGAGGGCUCGAGCGUUAAUCGGAAUCACUGGGCUUAAAGCGUGCGUAGGCGGGUGUGCAGGCAUGUUGUGAAAUCCCAUGGCUCAACCAUGGAAUUGCUUCGUGAACCGCACAUCUUGAGGCUGGUAGAGGCAGUUGGAACGCUAGGUGGAGCGGUGAAAUGCGUAGAUAUCUAGCGGAACGCCGAAGGUGAAGACAAGCUGCUGGGCCAGUCCUGACGCUGAGGCACGAAAGCGUGGGGAGCAAACGGGAUUAGAUACCCCGGUAGUCCACGCCCUAAACGAUGCGCACUAGAUCGAGGUGAUUGACUUCACCUUGGUCGAAGCAAAAGUGUUAAGUGCGCCGCCUGGGGAGUACGGUCGCAAGGCUA
rnacentral:rRNA from 1 species